GAGGAUGCGAGCGUUAUCCGGAUUUAUUGGGUUUAAAGGGUGCGUAGGCGGCGGCUUAAGUCAGCGGUCAAAGCCCGGGGCUCAACCCCGGCGAGCCGUUGAAACUGGGUUGCUUGAGUUGGCGAGAAGUACGCGGAAUGCGCGGUGUAGCGGUGAAAUGCAUAGAUAUCGCGCAGAACUCCGAUUGCGAAGGCAGCGUACCGGCGCCACACUGACGCUGAGGCACGAAAGCGUGGGGAUCGAA
rnacentral:rRNA from 1 species